rnacentral:rRNA from 1 species
UACGUAGGGGGGCAAGCGUUGUCCGGAUUUACUGGGCGUAAAGCGCGUGUAGGCGGCCACGCAGGUCCGUUGUGAAAACUAGAGGCUCAACCUCUAGACGUCGACGGAAACCGUGUGGCUAGAGUCCGGAAGAGGAGAGUGGAAUUCCUGGUGUAGCGGUGAAAUGCGCAGAUAUCAGGAAGAACACCAAUGGCGAAGGCAGCUCUCUGGGACGGUACUGACGCUGAGACGCGAAAGCGUGGGGAGCGAACAGGAUGAUGACCGUC